rnacentral:piRNA from 1 species
UUGCCUUCGUGGACUGCUGUAGA